rnacentral:rRNA from 1 species
UACGGGGGGGGCAAGCGUUGUUCGGAAUUACUGGGCGUAAAGGGCUCGUAGGCGGCCAACUAAGUCGGACGUGAAAUCCCUCGGCUCAACCGGGGAACUGCGUCCGAUACUGGAUGGCUUGAGUUCGGGAGAGGGAUGCGGAAUUCCAGGUGUAGCGGUGAAAUGCGUAGAUAUCUGGAGGAACACCGGUGGCGAAGGCGGCAUCCUGGACCGAUACUGACGCUGAGGAGCGAAAGCCAGGGGAGCAAACGAG